UAUGUUCAAUUGGAUCAUUUUUUAUUGAGAUAUUGUUGAAGAUAUGAAAGUGGUGAAGCUGAGUAUAUACGUACAUAUAUAUAGAGGUAUAUCAUCAUCCAAGACAGAGAAAUGAAGACGAGGAGGGAGGAGGACAUGGAGAUCGUCUGGCAAACUCCGGCGAACCCACCGGAGCGCCACGAUUACAUCUUCCGCAACGGUGUGCGCUACGUGAGACCCUACUACUUCGAGUUCAUCUGUCAUGUCAAGAAUCGCUGGGCUGGGAAGACCAUUGUUGAUUUGUUUUCUGAUGAAUUCAAAGGAAGACCAUAUGAUUACUAUGUUUCUGCUGUUAAAUCUGGACGGAUACAAGUUGAUGGAGAGAUGGUGCCUGUUUCAUACAUAGUUCAGCCAUCGCAGAAGAUAAGCCACUUCUUACACAGGCAUGAACCACCAGUGAAGGCAAUGGAGGUUUCAGUCCUGCAAAAAGAACUAGAUGUGUUGACUGUAUGUAAACCUGCAUCUGUCCCGGUGCAUCCGUGUGGUCAAUAUCGUAAAAACACAGUUGUCGGCAUCCUCCAAGCAGAACAUGGAUUGGCAUCUCUAUUUCGUAUCCACCCUAUGUUUUGCAGCAUGUUCCUACUGGUUGUACAGAAACAUAUUUUAAUUCUAUUCAUCGAUUGGAUCGCUUGGUAUCUGGGCUCCUUAUCUUGGCGACAAGUGCUUCUAAGGCUGACCUUUUUAGGCAGCAGGUUGUGGUUGUUCCAGAUUGAAGCUGGGAUGGUGGAGAAACAGUAUGUUGCAAAGGUUAUUGGGGUAUUUCCAGAGGAUGAGCAAGUUGUGAAUGCCAAUGUAAAUUACAAUGCCCGAGAAGGGAGGAGCACAACAGAGGUGGAAUCUGUUGAAAACGGUAGUACUGCACUGAAGGGAAAGGCUGCUUGUACAAAAUUUACUAGGAUAAGUACCAAUGGGACUCAUAGCAUCAUUCUGUGUGAACCAAUCACUGGAAGAACUCAUCAAAUACGUGUUCAUCUGCAAUAUAUGGGCCAUCCAAUAGCCAACGACAUGCUCUACCUCUCUGAAGUUACUGAUCGUUCUACUAAAGGAAUGUGUGCUGAUAGAGCUGCGGCUAAAUCAGCCCAGUCUCUACCAUCCAAUCCUGAUAAAGACUGUUCUGCUGGAUCUGAAGAGAACUCCAAGGAAGAUUUUAGCAUUGAUCCGAUGUGUACAAAUUGUCCCAAUUUGGCUCCUAAAGGAUAUGAUGGGCAUGAGGAAGGUCUAUGGCUGCAUUGUGUUCGAUAUACUGGACCCGACUGGACUUACGAAUGUUCAUAUCCGGAUUGGGCAUUGCUUGACUAAUCUGUUGUAUCAUGGACCACUCGAGCGAAGUAUUGGUCCCUUGAGCGAAGAAUCCCUGCUCCCUUGAGCGAAGAAUCCCUGCUCCCAGAAGUUCAACCUGUCUGCAAAUAUGUGGGGAGAGGUCGAUGUGCGCUCGAGCGAACCUUUUGGUGGCUCGAGGGAAGGCUGGUUUGAUUUCACGCGCAUGAAGCACAUUACUCGAGCAACAAUUUCAUGGCUCGAGUGGUCCCCGUGACCCUGUUCAGUAUAAAGCUAUGCGAAAGAUAGAAGUUAGGGUUACAACUUUCAGAUCUGAUUCUUGAGAGUUAAGGUUUUCCCCUAGAGCUUCUUUACUUGUUUCCUUUGAUGUCUUUGUGAGUUUAUCGCAUGAUUUAAGUCGAUUACAUCAAAGGGUUGUUUGAUCAUCCUAAUCAAAAAGUUUUUGAUCAGUGGAUUCCAAAGAUUUGAGCGUGAAGGCUUUGAAGGAGUUUGAAGCGGCUCGUUGUUGUGGAUUCGACAUGGAUGUUGUGGAUUCAACAUCAGACUAGUCAAUUCCGAGACAAAGGCGUUGGUGAAAGAGGCACAAGUUGUUGAAGACAAUUUUACAAAGUGUUGGGUUUUUCAAUUGGUAUUAGAGCUUGGGAUCCUGAAGGUUGGCGCACAAUUGAGAAGAAUGUUGAAGCACCGUUUGUGAUUGAUCCGGAUACCAAUUAAAAGGUUGCCAAGCUGACUAAGGAGAGGAGUAUUGUUGAAAAGGUUGACAUGGACAGCAAUGAAAGAGUUUUGAAUAUGAUCAAAGAAACACUUUUUGAAGGAGAACAACAUCGGAUCUCUCAUUGCAAUAAUGCCAAAGAUGCAUAGGCUGUUCUUAUGCAAUUUCAUGAAAGCAUAAAGUCAUCUUCACAACCAUCCAGCAAUCUCCACAUCAAUGCCUUAGUCACUCGACUGGAUGCUCCCAAGGAGGAAGAAAAACAAAAGAAGAUGAUGAAAUCUCAGAGGAUGAUGAUGAGAUUGAUGGUGAAGAGCUUCAACAAGCUUAUGAAAAGCUAUACAGGGAAUCUCCAAACUUAUCCAGAUUAAAUGACAAACUCACUAUCAAACUCAAAGCCUAUGAAAGUAAGAAUGUCAAGUUAAAAGAGGAGGUCUCUAAAGCUAGGAAGGAUGCCAUCAAGAUCUCAAGUGAUAAACAAGCUCUCUGUGCAAAACUCCUGUCCUGCGAAAUCAAGAGGAAUGAACUUCUGAAAAUUAAUGCCACAUACGAAGACAAGAUUGAAUCCCUCGAGAUGUCUUAAGUUGCCCUGGAAGAGUUAGUCAGUCAGAAAGAGAAAGAAAUCAAAAUGCUAGAGCUAUAAUUGACAUGUGGAAUAGUGAAUCGAAGACACUUGAAGACAUCAUUGGGUCUCAACAAAUGAGCAGUGACAAAAGUGGGAUAGGCUAUGGUGAUGCAACACAACAAAAAGGAAAGCCUCCUACAGCUCAUGACAAACGGACUCAAGCCAAGGGAAAGUUGAAGAUCCAACAGGAUGACAAGCCUCUCCAUCAACCUAAAGGUGGUAUGAUCAGUGAAAGGGAAGUAAAACCUGUUUUAUUUGUCAUUAUUGUGGUAGGUAUGGCCACAUUUGCCCUUAUUGUUUUGAGUUAUUUGGUAGAGUGUCUCAAAAAGUUGGAAAUUCUAAUACUUUAUGGGUUAUGAGACAAUCUUACUUGUCUAGGUGGAAUACUAGGAUUCAUAAUGGUGUUCACAAUGCUAAGACAUUUACCAAGAAUGCCAGUCCUUUUUCUGUGAAGACCAGAAAGAUAUGGAUGAGAAAAAGUGACUUAACUUGUUUUGUUUUGUUGUUUACACUGCAUUGAAAGCACGUGACUUGCAUAUGUGGUUUCUUAAUAGUGGGUUCUCUCGUCACAUGUCUGGUGAAAAAUCCUAUUUCACAUCUCUCGAGAAAUAUGAAGGAGGAAUUGUUACAUUUGGAGAUGGUGGCACCUUUAAAAUCA